CAAAUCAAUGUUUAAAUUUUGAGUAAAACGAUUCUGGCUCACAUUUAAAUUGUAUUUUUGGUGAUGAAUAAGAAAUAGCAUAUACACACACAUAUAUAUGUGCAUUGCCAUUCCUUGCACUAAAAUGAGGAUGUAGAGAGGAACUUUAGACAAAAGGAAGAGAAAACAGAAAAUAGGGGUCAAGCGCAAGAUAUGUGUAAAUGAAAUUAGAGAGCAAAGAAAAUUAUAAAUCAACCUUUUUACCUUAGUCUCGCCUUGGCCCUAUUUGUCUAGGUUGACUUUUUUUUUUCACUCGUUUAUUUAUUAUGUCAAUCUCUUUAGCAAUCUCAAUUCAUUUUUUGUAUAUAUCGAAAAUGUUCCAAGAUAGUAGUAAAAUAUAUUUUUGAGAGUGGAUAAAUAUAUGUAUCCGAAAAAAACAUAGAAUACUACUGAUUAAUUAAUGGUUCCUUUCAUGAGCAAAAAAUGUAAUAAAUUUCGAUAUAGUUAUUUGACCCAUGAUCUCUCGAAAUUAUUUGUAUCUCACGUCCCUCAGGUUUGUGAUGAUGUGGCAUCCAAGCUGGACAAGAAGAAGAAAGAAGUAAAGACUGUGGAGGAAACCACAGGUUUGCCGUUGAGAUUGGAGGAAGCGAAGCUUGUGGCUGCGGUGGUUUGACGAUGAUGCAGAAGACGAACUCGCAUGAGAGUGGCGGUGAUUUUCACCAGAGGCGGACAUCGGAAUCUUCGAAGUCGCGUUAGUGACAGUUAGGUGACUUGCGAACGAGAGAAGCUCCUCCGACACCGAAUUGAAUUCUCAGGAGGUAUUGUUUCCCAAUCUAGAACGAAACCGGAAGGAUUCUCAGUUAGGUUAUCGAGCUGGUGUGUAUUGAUUGUUGAUAAUUGCGAUCAUAUUCUCUGUAAUGGUGUGGUUCUGCUAUGAGCUGUUGUACAAAGAUGAAUCCACUUCGCUCAGGGAAGAUGUUCAAAGGAGAGAGAAAUAUAGUGCAGAUGAUAGCAUCACCAAGUGUGGCAAAUCGAAUCAUGUCACUGUUCUUGAGAUAUACUCACCAAGUGAAACAAAUUGAGCCGUACCACUGAUUUGAGACAUGGGAAGGAUUCAAGUUUGAGAAAAAGGCAUUGAACCAGACAGACAUUGUGUUUCAUGGUAUUGAUAUGGUUCCAGAGGCAUCCAGAAAAGUUCGCAUUCAGUCUUUUUGAGGACCAGUUUGGUGGGAAUGGAAAGAAGCGGCUUGGAUCAUCAAAUGGAAGGAAACUUCAUGUUCUUCAUUGUUCUUGGCCGUGAAAACGUCUCCAGCAAAUCAGCUGCAUGCCACACAUAUGAAAAUUGACAUGAGUCUACAUGAAGAAACAACACCAAGUUUCCUGACAUUUGAUGCAGUGACUGGCGUAACUCAAGAACAUGCCGUUAUCUUGUACACAAGUCUACUAGACCUGAAUAUCAAGUGUGGCAUCGUUGGAGAUACAAGACAAUUCAGACCAUCGACGUAGUGUCACUUACGCUGUUGCCACAAGUGGGUGCAGAGAGAAUAUUUUGGUUAUCUUGCAAGCCUGUGCACAAAGGUAUCCUUGGCUUUGAGAUCAGACUCUGCAUUUUAUGGCGAGAUGCAGAACAGUCAAUUGGUUUGGCUAUGAAUUGGUGGGAGUGUACAGCAGUUUUACAUGAUUUGUUUGGACGGCUUAUGCAUGACCAUGUCCAUAUCCGGCCUAUGCCGUGUUUCCCUCCUUUUGUGUUAAGCUCGGAGAGAAGGGUGGCUGGAGAGAGAGAGAGAGAGAGACUUCCCGUUGAGUGCCACUGGAAGUCCAGAUUCUAUCCCUAUCUCAAUGUAUCUGUUAAUGUACAACAACAUUCAAGUACCAUAAGUUAUGAUGCAAAGUGUAAAAUCUAUUUUAUUGGUAUAUAAUAAACUCCUUUUACAAA